AUUGAACGCUGGCGGCAGGCCUAACACAUGCAAGUCGAACGAGUGGCGGACGGGUGAGUAAUGUCUGGGAAACUGCCCGAUGGAGGGGGAUAACUACUGGAAACGGUAGCUAAUACCGCAUACCAUCGGAUGUGCCCAGCUGGGAUUAGCUAGUAGGGGGGGUAACGGCUCACCUAGGCGACGAUCCCUAGCUGGUCUGAGAGGAUGACAAGCCACACUGGAACUGAGACACGGUCCAGAUGCCUACGGGAGGCAGCAGGGGGGAAUAUUGCACAAUGGGCGCAAGCCUGAUGCAGCCAUGCCGAGUGUAUGAAGAAGGCCUUCGGGUUGGAAAGUACUUUCAGCGAGGAGGCGUGACUCGCAGAAGAAGCACCGGCUAACUACGUGCCAGCAGCCGCGGUAAUUC
rnacentral:rRNA from 1 species